rnacentral:rRNA from 1 species
AGUGAACGCUGGCGGUAGGCCUAACACAUGCAAGUCGAACGGCAGCACAGUAAGAGCUUGCUCUUACGGGUGGCGAGUGGCGGACGGGUGAGGAAUACAUCGGAAUCUACUUUUUCGUGGGGGAUAACGUAGGGAAACUUACGCUAAUACCGCAUACGACCUACGGGUGAAAGCAGGGGAUCUUCGGACCUUGCGCGAUUGAAUGAGCCGAUGUCGGAUUAGCUAGUUGGCGGGGUAAAGGCCCACCAAGGCGACGAUCCGUAGCUGGUCUGAGAGGAUGAUCAGCCACACUGGAACUGAGACACGGUCCAGACUCCUACGGGAGGCAGCAGUGGGGAAUAUUGGACAAUGGGCGAAAGCCUGAUCCAGCCAUGCCGCGUGGGUGAAGAAGGUCUUCGGGUUGUAAAGCCCUUUUGUUGGGAAAGAAAAGCAGCAGGUUAAUACCCCGCUGUUCUGACGGUACCCAAAGAAUAAGCACCGGCUAACUUCGUG